rnacentral:sRNA from 1 species
GGCAGGCCGACUGCUAUUGGCACAGGCUAUAUAUAGUCCUUCUCCAGCCACGCUUUUACACCGCUGCAAUGAUCUUGUUGAGUUAGAAAUGGUGUUUCACUGUGGUUCUUCAAGACAGUCCGUGUCUUGGUGUGCUGAUGACGUGUGGCAAUGUAAGACGAGUCGUGUAGUCACGAACAAACUCUUUGCGUGCAAUUAUAAUGAGAAUAUCUGUUCUAAUCUUCCUUUCUUUCGCUGGGAACAGCUUCCCGUACAUGGCCGAAGGAGCAUAGCUAAGCGGCGUGAAUUAGCUGUUAAUGAUAGGAGAUAGGAACAUCCGGCUUUUCGGCGAUCCGAUGGAAGGCGUCGAUGAUUAAGGAGCGCAAAAAAUCAUUGUCUACAUCGUCAUCGUAUAAUCCGUAUUCCCACGUCCCACGUUUGCUUUUAUCGUUACAACUAUUAUUCCUCUUCGUUGUCUAAUCACAAUAGGCUGUAAUAAUAAUAGACCGUGGCCGUAGCCUUACGCGCGCGCCCGAUCAGCAUAGCAGGAACGACGUAGAACAUAAGGAGUAUCGAUCACUCUCCUUUCACUUGGUUAGCAUAAGGCUGGCAUCUCACCUCCCAUUAUGCCAAGCUGUUAUCAAUAAUCUUCAGUGGCUCUCGAGGAAAGGAAGAGGCAGGGAACGAAAAAGAGAACAAAAAGACACCCACAAAAUAAAAAUGCGGGGUCAGGGUGUCGGAGAAACCCAAUACUCUUCAACCAUAACGAAGCCCUUUUUAUCUUCUUCCACAUUCCACAUAUCCCAUUAUUCCAUCACUCCUCUUUUGGAAUUCUUCCCUCAUCCUCCCUAGUCUUUUUUCUCCUGCUGUCCACCUUUACCCUGAGAUUUAUGAUUGCUGGGAGAAGAA